rnacentral:rRNA from 1 species
GGCUGCAGUAUUUUGACUGUACAAAGGUAGCAUAAUCAUUUGUCUUUUAAUUGAAGGCUUGUAUGAAUGGUUGGAUGAAAAAUAUACUUUCUUUAUUAUAUAUAAAAAAUUUAAUUUUUUAGUUAAAAAGCUAAAAUGAUAUUAUAGGACGAGAAGACCCUAUAGAACUUUAUUUUCUUUUUUAUAUAAAUUUUAUAGUUAAAUAAAAAUUUCUAUAUUUAUGUUUAUUUUGUUGGGGUGAUUGAAAAAACUUUAUAACUUUUUCUAUUUCUUUCAUUUAUGUAUGUUAUUUAUGAUCCUUUAUUAUGGAUAAUAAGAUUAAGUUACCUUAGGGAUAACAGCGUUAUUUUUUUGGAGAGUUCAUAUCGAUAAAAAAGUUUGCGACCUCGAUGUUGGAUUAAAAUAAGUAAUAGGGGUAGAAUAU